UACGGAGGGAGCUAGCGUUAAUCGGAAUUACUGGGCGUAAAGCGUGCGCAGGCGGCUUUGCAAGACAGAUGUGAAAUCCCCGGGCUUAACCUGGGAACUGCACUUGUGACUGCACGGCUAGGAGUACGGUAGAGGGGGAUGGAAUUCCGCGUGUAGCAGUGAAAUGCGUAGAUAUGCGGAGGAACACCGAUGGCGAAGGCAGCCCCUGGGUCAAAACUGACGCUCAUGCACGAAAGCGUGGGGAGCAAACAGG
rnacentral:rRNA from 1 species